UUAUGUAAUCAUACCUCAUGCAAUGCAUCAGAUCUCAUCUGAGUUCAGAAGCUAAACAUGGUUGUACCUGAUUAGUACGUGGAAAGGAGAUCACCAGGGAAUACCGGGGAUCUCUAGGU
rnacentral:rRNA from 1 species